AUAUGUUCAGGAAAAUUAGUGAGAUGAAGUUACCUGAUUCCGCUGAUUAUUUGUUGAUAAAUGAUGAGGAAAGAUGUCGAAGUUGGUGCCUAGAAAACUGCUCUUGCUUGGCCUAUUCUUAUGUGAAUGCUAUAGGAUGUAUGACUUGGAGUAAAGACCUCCUAGAUACUCUGCAACUCCCCACAGGUGGCGAAGAUCUGUUUAUUCGACUUGUGGACACGAGUGCAGGUGCUGCGGGUGUACCUACACGGACAAAACUUAUCAUCAGUCUCAGUACUAUAUCUGGAAUCAUCUUAUUUGGAGCCGGUUUUUGACUCUGUGCUCUUUCAAACUGGAGAGGAAAGCUUAGGAAAAUGACAAUCCCAAGUCUCUUUAGGUCAGUGACUGCAACCAUCAGAUCAGAAAAACUAC